AAAGCUUUAAGUUAUAUAAACUAAUAACCUUCAAAGUUAUAAAUACAUCAAAUUGUAAGCUUUA
rnacentral:tRNA from 2 species